rnacentral:tRNA from 1 species
GGGUAUCGCUCAGUGGUAGAGCACAUGCUUAGCAUGCACAAGGUCCUGGGUUCAAUCCCCAGUACCUCCA